GAUCUACCCAUGGCCAGUGUGAAGCAGCUGUAAGAGGCUGUGGAGGCGCGAACCCACUUAGGUUGAAAACUGAGGGGAUGAGUUGUGGGUAGGGGUGAAAGGCCAAUCAAACUCCGUGAUAGCUGGUUCUCCCCGAAAUGCAUUUAGGUGCAGCGUCGUGUGUUUCUUGCCGGAGGUAGAGCUACUGGUUGGUUGAGCGGGACUAUCAUCUUAGCGACGUCAGCCAAACUCCGAAUGCCGGUAAGUCAGAGCGCGGCAGUGAGACUGCGGGGGAUAAGCUUCGUUAGUCGAGAGGGAAACAGCCCAGAUCGCCGGUUAAGGCCCCUAAGAGUGUGCUAAGUGGAAAAGGAUGUGGGAUCGCGAAGACAGCCAGGAGGUUGGCUUAGAAGCAGCCAUCCUUGAAAGAGUGCGUAAUAGCUCACUGGUCGAGUGGUUCUGCGCCGACAAUGUAGUGGGGCUCAAGUACACCGCCGAAACCGCGGAACUCAAUCUUUUGGUUGGGUUGGUAGGGGAGCGUCGUGUGAUCGUUGAAGCUGCCGGGUGACCGUGUGGUGGAGGUUAUGCGAGUGAGAAUGCAGGCAUGAGUAGCGAAUGAUGCGUGUGAAACGUAUCCGCCGGAUGACUAAGGGUUCCUGGGUCAAGCUAAUCUUCCCAGGGUGAGUCGGGUCCUAAGGCGAGGCCGACAGGCGUAGUCGAUGGUUAACGGGUUGAUAUUCCCGUACCCGUGUGUGUGCGACCAAUGGUGAAUCAGUGAUACUAACCGCCCUGAAGGAUGCCACUCACACUUUGUGUGUGUGGUGUGUGGAUGCGUGGGACCUGAUCUGGUAGUAGCCAAGCGAUGGGGUGACGCAGGAAGGUAGCCAAGCCACUUAUUGGAUUGUGGUGUAAGCGUGUGGCCCGCAGGAAUUGGUAAAUCCGUCCUGCAUUUAAGGGUGAGGCGUGAUGCGUACCCGUUGUGGGGAUGUUGGUGAUCCUAUGCUGUCGAGAAAAGCCUCUAGUGAGUGCAUGUACGGCCCGUACCGUAAACCGACACAGGUGGUCAGGUAGAGAAUACUAAGGCGUUCGGGUGAACUGUGGUUAAGGAAUUCGGCAAAAUGGCCCCGUAACUUCGGGAGAAGGGGUGCCACUGCUGGUGAACGACGUGUUGAGCUGGUGGUGGUCGCAGAGAAUAGAGGGAAGCGACUGUUUACUAAAAACACAGGUCCGUGCGAAGACGGUAAGUCGAUGUAUACGGACUGACGCCUGCCCGGUGCUGGAAGGUUAAGAGGACCUGUUAGAUCCUUGUGGUCGAAGCGGAGAAUUUAAGCCCCAGUAAACGGCGGUGGUAACUAUAACCAUCCUAAGGUAGCGAAAUUCCUUGUCGGGUAAGUUCCGACCUGCACGAAUGGCGUAACGACUUCCCUGCUGUCUCAACCACAGGCCCGGUGAAAUUGCAGUACGAGUAAAGAUGCUCGUUACGCGCGGCAGGACGAAAAGACCCCGGGACCUUCACUAUAGCUUGGUAUUGGUGUUCGGUUCGGUUUGUGUAGGAUAGGUGGGAGACUGUGAAGUGGCCACGCUAGUGGUUGUGGAGUCGUUGGUGAAAUACCACUCUGAUCGGAUUGGGCAUCUGAACCUCGGCCCGUGAUCCGGGUUAGGGACAGUGCCUGGUGGGUAGUUUAACUGGGGCGGUUGCCUCCCAAAGUGUAACGGAGGCGCCCAAAGGUUCCCUCAGCCUGGUUGGCAAUCAGGUGUUGAGUGUAAGUGCACAAGGGAGCUUGACUGUGAGACUGACAGGUCGAGCAGGUACGAAAGUAGGGACUAGUGAUCCGGCACCGGCUUGUGGAAGCGGUGUCGCUCAACGGAUAAAAGGUACCCCGGGGAUAACAGGCUGAUCUUCCCCAAGAGUCCAUAUCGACGGGAUGGUUUGGCACCUCGAUGUCGGCUCGUCGCAUCCUGGGGCUGGAGUAGGUCCCAAGGGUUGGGCUGUUCGCCCAUUAAAGCGGCACGCGAGCUGGGUUUAGAACGUCGUGAGACAGUUCGGUCUCUAUCCGCCGUGCGCGUUGAAACUUGAAGAAGGCUGUCCCUAGUACGAGAGGACCGGGACGGACAUACCUCUGGUGGGCCAGUUGUCACGCCCGUGGCAUGGCUGGUUGGCUACGUAUGGGAGGGAUAACCGCUGAAAGCAUCUAAGCGGGAAGCCUGUUCUGAGAUGAGGUUUCUUUUGAGGUUCCCUAUAGAUUAUGGGGUUGAUAGGCCGGAUCUGGAAGUCAUGUGAGUGAUGGAGGUGACCGGUACUAAUUAGCCGAUGUUCAACACAA
rnacentral:rRNA from 1 species